AUUGAACGCUGGCGGCAGGCUUAACACAUGCAAGUCGAGCGAGCGGCGGACGGGUGAGUAAUGUCUGGGAAACUGCCUGAUGGAGGGGGCUCACUACUGGAAACGGUAGCUACUACCGCAUACCAUCCGAUGUGCCCGGAUGGGAUUAGCUAGUAGGUGGGGUAAUGGCUCACCUAGGCGACGAUCCCUAGCUGGUCUGAGAGGAGGACCGGCCACGCGGGAACGGAGACGCGGUCCAGCCUCCUACGAGGGGCAGCAGGGGAGACUGUUGCACAGUGGGCGAAAGCCUGAGGCAGACAUGCCGCGUGUGUGAAGAGGGCCUUCGGGUUGAAAAGCACUUUCAGCGAGGAGGCGUUACUCGCAGAAGAGGAACCGGCAAACUCCGUGCAAGCAGCCGCGGUAAUA
rnacentral:rRNA from 1 species